AAUGGAACUUAAUAUACACAUUGUGUUCACUAUAUGCAUAUAAAAUGUAACCUAAACAACUGCAUUGGUUUCUUUCAUUUCAAAGUCAAAGUCAAAGUCAGCUUUAUUGUCAAUCUCUCCACAUGUCACAACACACAAAGAGACCGAAAUUACGUUUUUCUCUAUCCCACGGCGACGAGACACAUAACACGAUAGACAUACAAGUACGCGACACAAUAUAAAACAAGAAGGCAAAGAUUCAAACAAUCAAUAGUAAGAGUGAUGAAUAAAUACUAAAUAAACAGAUAACACAAUAAAUAAGAGGAGCAAAACGGAGCCAGCAAGCAUAGCGCAAAAAUAAAAAACAUCAUAAACAAAAAAGCACAAACAAUAAAUAAUAAGAGUAAUAAUAAAUAAUAAAUAAACAGAUAACACAACAAAUAAGAGCCAGUGUGCAUACAGACAGUACAGACAGUAAAAGUACAGGACGCUACGCAGAACGGGGGAGCGAGUUCAGGAUCCUAACAGCCUGGAGUAUGAAGCUGUUUGAGAGUCUGGUGGUGCGGGAGCGCAGGCUUCUGUACCUCUUUCCAGAGGGCAGAAGCUCGAACAAGGAGUGAGCGGGGUGACUCACAUCACUCACAAUCGUGGUCGCCUUGCGGGUGAGAUGGGAGGUGUAAAUGUCCUUCAAGGAGGGGAGCAAAGCACCAGCAAUCUUACCAGCCGUGUUCACUAUGCGCUGCAGGGCCUUCAAGUUGUAGUCAGUGCAGCCGCCACCCCAAACAGCAAUAUAGUUUCAAUGUUUGAAACUAUCAAACAUUGUUUGAUCAAUGUCAGACAAGUUUGAUAGUUUCCCUGCUGAGGCUAUUGAAAGGAGAAUUACUAAUGAGGUUGUUCUUGCCUAAGCAAUUUAAGCAAGCCUGUCUUUAUGUUCUAUCUAAUCUAGUCUAAUUGAAGAGGGAGGAAGAUCUUUCGGUUGAUAAAAAGCACAAAAUAGUCCAGUGCCUUGUGAAAGAAUGAAAACGCCAGACAUUUUGAGAAAACUAGGUCCUCGUACAGUUAAAAAUUAGCGUGAAACUCAGCGAAAACGUCUUCAUUCUGACGAAAAUUUAAGGAACGCUGUGGGUAUAAGCAGACAAUCUCGUGGUGUUGCCCACAUCUCCUGACCUCAACCCACUUGAAAGGAAGCUCGAUAGGGGUUCACAGCACAACAUUUUAUUCGUUCUUCACACAGUAACUCUUGCAUCCUCCAGUGAGGUACAUGAAUCAACUCUGGAUGGACUUAGAAUCUCAAUAAAUGGGAGUUGAUAAAGCGAUAUUCACAACUGCCUUAACCAAUCAUUGAAAAUUGAGUGAUCAAUAAUUGGACACACUUCUGUUUUAUGUCUUAAGUAAAGAAUCAACUUUUCUAGCUUAUCUAAAAACAACAUGGGUGUCAAACUCUUUUGUCGUGGGCCGCAUUCUAGUCAUAGUUUCCCUCGGAGGGCUAUUAUGACAACAUCUUCUAUAUAGUACACACAAUAAAGGCUACAAAAUCAAUGAACAAAAUUUUUAAAUCGGAGACCAGUAAAAAUAUUUCAAAUAUUUUAAAAAGACAAAUGGUAAUACAAAAAAAUGCUAGCAAUAUCUCUAUUUUUUUAAAGUGAAGACAAUAUGUAAUUUUAGUAAUGACACAAAUGUCAAAUUUGUCUUCGUGGGCCACAUAAAAUGAUGUGGCCGGCCAUAUUUGGCCCCUGGGCCUUGAGUUUGAAAUUUAUGGUCGAACCGGAGUUUUGGGCCAUCAACACCUAUUUACCGUAUUUUCACAUUUAUUAGGCGUGGAAAAAAGUCUUAGAUUUUCUUCAAAAUGUGCGGCGCGCCCUAUCACGCAGUGGUCCCUAUGUGUGUUGUUGUUGUAAGGCCGAAGUAUUUAAGAGCGCCAGGAGAACGUUAAAGGGAGAAUUGUGGGCUUGGAUUUGCAGUACGCCCCGCCCUGUGCGUGUGUGUGUCAAAGGGGGAAGUGUGGGCGUGGAUUGUAUAUAAAAGAACGGGUACAUGCGUCAGGCAAAACAUCGUUGUUGUAACAACAGUGAAAAUGGCAAAGAGACACGCUUAUCAAGCACAGUUCAAACUGAAGGCCAUCAGCUACGUGGAGGAGCAUGGAAAUCGAGCAGCCGCGAGAGAAUUUGAAAUCAACAAAUCGAUGGUUCGCAAGGGGAGGAAGCUGGAAAACAAGCUCCGACAGGUCAAGAAGACGCAGCUGAGUUUCCGCGGAUGUAAGGCAAGGUGGCCCGAGUUGGAUGAAAGACUCGAACAGUGGAUCAUCGAGCAAAGAACGAGUGGGAGAAGCGUUUCGACAGUCACCAUUCGACUAAAAUCAGCAACUCUAGCAGAAGAAAUGAAAAUUGAACAUUUUCAAGGAGGUCCGUCCUGGUGCUUUCGUUUCAUGAAACAGUGCCAUUUUUCCAUCCGGACCAGGACUACGUAGGCGCAGCUGAAAAGCUGGCCAUCUUCCGCUCCUACUGCAGCAAACGCAUCGACGACAAACAUCCAGCCCACCCACAUCACCAACAUGGACGAGGUGCCGCUCACUUUUGACAUCCCGGUGAAUCACACUGUGGAGAAGAAAGAGCCCAAGACGAUAGCGAUACGCACAACGGGAUACAAAAAGUCUUCUUUUACUGUUGUGCUUGGCUGCCAUGCUAAUGGAGAGAAACUGAUGCCUAUGGUGAUUUUUAAGUAUAAGACUUUGCCUAAAGAAAAGGCAGCUUUCGUAAAAGCUGGCAUCAUAUCUGAGGAGCCACACGGCACGGAAAGUGACUCUCUCUGACAGUGAAGAAAGUGAACCUGGCACGUCUGUUGGAGAUUUAGCGCUGCUGUUCAAUUCGGAAACAGAGGAAGAGGACUUCGAUGGGUUUAAUUGAUGACCAUUACCGGUAAUAAAAAUGUGAAUACCAAACUCA